CUCAGAAGCAUCUUCUCCGAUCGUAUCAAGUGCAGAUGUAUCUAGUAUGUAGGAGCUUCCUCCUAAGUGAAAACAAUUCUCAUAUUUCUUAACCAAUCCACAUAGUUAGGUUUGAUCAAUUUGUUAGCAUUUAGAAUACCUCAUAGUGAUAGUGAGGAUGUCAUGUGUGCAGUUAAUCUACAAUAACAAGAAUACAAUAUAAGUAGAUAACUCAUGAUGAUAU
rnacentral:lncRNA from 1 species